GGGACAGAUAUGCACCCAUAAAGGUGGUGGGGAUAGGAGAAAUAAAGGAUAUACAACAGCCAAGAAUCUCCAUGUAUUGUUGUGGAAGGGUCUAGCAAAACAGUAUUCAACUUGGACUAUCGAACAAAUUCACAUUCAAUGUAGUUUGGAUAUCAAAGACUCAAUCAUUUGUACGACGCCGGUGGUUGCAAUUAUCCAACAUCAAAGGUGAUAGAUGACAGCUUGCACCCACUUUC
rnacentral:lncRNA from 1 species